rnacentral:hammerhead_ribozyme from 1 species
AUUCACCUGACGAGUCCCAAAACAAGACGAAGUGUGCGUUGCGGAU